rnacentral:rRNA from 1 species
UACGAAGGGGGCGAGCGUUGUUCGGAUUUACUGGGCGUAAAGGGCGCGCAGGCGGCGGAUCAAGUCAGACGUGAAAGCCCCGGGCUUAACCUGGGAACUGCGUUUGGGACUGAUUUGCUAGAGAUCGGGAGAGGAGAGUGGAAUUCCCAGUGUAGAGGUGAAAUUCGUAGAUAUUCGCAAGAACACCAGUGGCGAAGGCGGCUCACUGGCCCGGUACUGACGCUGAGGUGCGAAAGCGUGGGGAGCAAACAGG